UACGUAGGUGGCAAGCGUUGUCCGGAAUUAUUGGGCGUAAAGCGUCCGCAGGCGGCUAUUCAAGUCUGCUGUCAAAGCUCGGAGCUUAACUCCGAAUCGGCGGUGGAAACUGAACAGCUAGAGUGCAGUAGGGGUAGAGGGAAUUCCCAGUGUAGCGGUGAAAUGCGUAGAGAUUGGGAAGAACACCGGUGGCGAAAGCGCUCUACUGGACUGCAACUGACACUCAGGGACGAAAGCUAGGGGAGCGAAUGGG
rnacentral:rRNA from 1 species